GACGAACGCUGGCGGCGUGCCUAAUACAUGCAAGUCGAGCGAAGUUUUUCUGGUGCUUGCACUAGAAAAACUUAGCGGCGAACAGGUGAGUAACACGUAAAGAACCUGCCUCAUAGACUGGGACAACUAUUGGAAACGAUAGCUAGUACCGGAUAACAGUAUUUCUCGCAUGAGAGAUAUUUAAAAGUUGGUUAUGCUAACACUAUGAGAUGGCUUUGCGGUGCAUUAGCUAGUUGGUGGGGUAAAGGCCCACCAAGGCGACGAUGCAUAGCCGACCUGAGAGGGUGAUCGGCCACACUGGGACUGAGACACGGCCCAGACUCCUACGGGAGGCAGCAGUAGGGAAUCUUCCGCAAUGGGCGAAAGCCUGACGGAGCAACGCCGCGUGAGUGAAGAAGGAUUUCGGUUCGUAAAGCUCUGUUGUUAGGGAAGAAUGGAUAUGUAGUAACUAUACAUGUAAGAGACGGUACCUAACCAGAAAGCCACGGCUAACUACGUG
rnacentral:rRNA from 1 species